rnacentral:rRNA from 1 species
AGAGUUUGAUCCUGGCUCAGGAUGAACGCUGGCGGCGUGCUUAACACAUGCAAGUCGAACGAACCUUCGGGUUAGUGGCGGACGGGUGAGUAACGCGUGAGAAUCUGCCCUCAGGAGGGGGAUAACGGUUGGAAACGACCGCUAAUACCCCAUAUGCCGCGAGGUGAAAUGAAUUUCGCCUGAGGAUGAGCUCGCGUCUGAUUAGUUAGUUGGUGGGGUAAAGGCCUACCAAGACAUCGAUCAGUAGCUGGUCUGAGAGGAUGAUCAGCCACACUGGGACUGAGACACGGCCCAGACUCCUACGGGAGGCAGCAGUGGGGAAUUUUCCGCAAUGGGCGAAAGCCUGACGGAGCAACGCCGCGUGAGGGAUGAAGGCCUCUGGGCUGUAAACCUCUUUUAUCAAGGAAGAAGAUCUGACGGCACUUGAUGAAUAAGCCACGGCUAAUUCCGUGCCAGCAGCCGCGGUAAUACGGGAGUGGCAAGCGUUAUCCGGAAUUAUUGGGCGUAAAGCGUCCGCAGGCGGUCUGUCAAGUCUGCUGUUAAAGCGUGGAGCUUAACUCCAUUUCGGCAGUGGAAACUGACAGACUAGAGUGUGGUAGGGGCAGAGGGAAUUCCCGGUGUAGCGGUGAAAUGCGUAGAUAUCGGGAAGAACACCAGUGGCGAAGGCGCUCUGCUGGGCCAUAACUGACGCUCAUGGACGAAAGCCAGGGGAGCGAAAGGGAUUAGAUACCCCUGUAGUCCUGGCCGUAAACGAUGAACACUAGGUGUCGGGGGAAUCGACCCCCUCGGUGUCGUAGCCAACGCGUUAAGUGUUCCGCCUGGGGAGUACGCACGCAAGUGUGAAACUCAAAGGAAUUGACGGGGGCCCGCACAAGCGGUGGAGUAUGUGGUUUAAUUCGAUGCAACGCGAAGAACCUUACCAGGGUUUGACAUCCUGCGAAUCUCUUGGAAACGAGAGAGUGCCUUCGGGAACGCAGUGACAGGUGGUGCAUGGCUGUCGUCAGCUCGUGUCGUGAGAUGUUGGGUUAAGUCCCGCAACGAGCGCAACCCACGUCGUUAGUUGCCAGCAUUUAGUUGGGCACUCUAGCGAGACCGCCGGUGAUAAACCGGAGGAAGGUGUGGAUGACGUCAAGUCAUCAUGCCCCUUACAUCCUGGGCUACACACGUACUACAAUGCUACGGACAAAGGGCAGCAAACUCGCGAGAGCUAGCAAAUCCCAUAAACCGUGGCUCAGUUCAGAUCGUAGGCUGCAACUCGCCUACGUGAAGGAGGAAUCGCUAGUAAUCGCAGGUCAGCAUACUGCGGUGAAUACGUUCCCGGGCCUUGUACACACCGCCCGUCACACCAUGGAAGUUGGCCACGCCCGAAGCCGUUACUCCAACCCUUGUGGAGGAGGACGUCGAAGGUGGGGCUGAUGACUGGGGUGAAGUCGUAACAAGGUA